rnacentral:rRNA from 1 species
UGACGGGUAACGGGGAAUCAGAGUUCGAUUCCGGAGAGGCAGCCUGAGAGACGGCUACCACGUCCAAGGACGGCAGCAGGCACGCAAAUUACCCAAUCCCAGCAUCUGGGGAGGUAGUGACGAAAUAUAACAAUGCGGGCGCCCUUUUUGGGGCCCCGCAAUUGGAAUGGCCACUUUCUAAACAACCUGUCGAGAACCUACUGAAGGGCAAGUCUGGUGCCAGCAGCCGCGGUAAUUCCAGCUUCAGUAGCAUCUAUUAAAGUUGCUGCGGUUAAAAGGCUCGCAGUUGAAUGUCAGUAUCGAGCGCAGGUCAGGUGGACGCUGGGACGUGAACACUAAAGGCGGCUCGGUGUGCGUGCUGUCACUACUGUGCAUUACUAUCGGCAUUCUCACGAGCGUCGGUGUGUGUGUGCGGUGUGCUGUCUUCGUGCGCUGUUUCGUUGUUCACAUGUCCCCGUCCGUUACAAGCCUCCUCGCUUGUGUACAUAACGGAUUCUGGUAUAAUACGGAGUGCAUUACGUAGCGCUUCUCGGUCUCUGUUGGGCGGGCGGCUGUGCGCCACUUCACUGUGGUGUGUGGUCGUUCGUCUCAGUGUGCUGGGGAGUAUAUGCGCGUGUGCGUUAAGCUCCAACGUGUUUCUAUGGUCACCCUGAGUAAAUCAGAGUGCUUAAAGCAGUCGUAGGGGCCUUGUGCCCUUUGAACAGUCUUGACGGACUGACUUGGUUUUGCAUGGUAUGUCGUAAGACGACGUCUAGCGCUGGCUCAGAGUAGUUAUACAGUGGUACAAGCCAGCCUAGACGUAAUGAUUAAAAGGAACAGUCGAGGGCACUGGUAUUGCGAGGCGAGAGGUGAAAUUCUAUGACCCCCGCAAGACCUCCUGAAGCGAAAGCGUCUGCCAAGGAUGUUUUCAUUAAUCAUGAACGAAAGUUAGAGGAUCGAAGGCGAUCAGAUACCGCCCUAGUUCUAACCCUAAACGAUGCCAACCACCAAUCCGCGUGUAGCACCCUUUUUAACGGGCUCGGCGGGCAGCUCUCUAUUCACGGGAAACCAGAGUCUCUGGGUUCCGGGGGGAGUCUGGUUGCAAAGCUGAAACUUAAAGGAA